GGAACCAGCACCAAAAAGAAGAAAGUUCUCCCCGGUUUGGGAGUACUUUGACCUCAUUACUGUCAAUAAGGAGAGAAGACUGAUCUCACUGAAGCAUUAAUUGCUAUGGCUGUGGAAGACUGCCUCCCGUUCUCCACUGUAGAGGGGAGUGGGUUCCAAAAAUGUGUAAAAUCAUGCAGCCCAUCUUAUGUUCUCCCACGCCAGGCCCUGAAAGCUAUGGUGGAUAAGAAAUAUAAUGAAAACAAGGAGAAGGCAAAAGCCACUGUGAGUGCAUCAUCUGCUGUGAGCUUAACAUCUGACAUGUGGACCUCCAUAAAAACUGAAGCAUUCCUCGCCGUCACUGCCCAUUUUGUUGAUGAAAACACUAAGUUGAAUUCUGUUGUUCUGGGUGUCACACACUUCCAUCACACUGCAUUGAAUUUGGCUGCUGUGUAAAAAACAUCUUCUACAGUGGGGCAUCAGUAACAAGGUCACCUGCUCAGUCACAGACGGAGCUGCCAAUAUGGCUGCGUGUGCACAAGAGAUGGGACUUAAGCAUGCCAUCUGUGUGGCACAUACUUUGAAUCUGUCAAAAAAGCACUUUCUAUGAAUGAUACGCUCUCAGAAAUAAGACACAAAGGCAGGAGGAUCGUUGGGUACUUUAAGAGCAGCACUACAGCAAAGGAGAGACUUUCACAGGUUCAAAGCCAAAUGGGUUGGCCAACUCUAAAACUUCUCCAAGAAGUGGAAACAGGAUGGAAUAGUUCUGACAACAUGUUGCAGAGACUUUUUCAGGAAAGGGAGCCAGUUGCUGCUGCCCUGGUUGGCUUGAGUAAGUCCGUGUUGUCCAGCGACAGUCCCAAAACAUCACUGCUCUAGAGGAGAUCUGCAGGAGGAAUGGACCAAACUACAGCAACAGUGAAAACCUCUGGAGACAGAAAACGACCUGUCACUGCAUCAAAGGGAAUAUAACAAAGUACUGAGUUGAACUUUUGACCAAAUACUUAUUUUACACCAAAAUUUGCAAGUAAAUUCAUGAAAAAUCCUUCAAUUUUAGAUUUUCUGGAUUCCAUUCUGUCUCUCAUAGUUGAAGUGAAACUAUGAUGAACAGGCCUCUCUCGUCUUUUUAAGAGGCAGAACUCGCACAACUGGAGGCUGAAUAAAUACUUUUUUGCCCCGCUGUAAAAUAAUUCACUACAGAAAUGUGUCAAUUGAUUUGAACUGCAGGAAAACAGGUUAAGUCA